rnacentral:rRNA from 1 species
AGAGUUUGAUCCUGGCUCAGAUUGAACGCUGGCGGAAUGCUUUACACAUGCAAGUCGAACGGCAGCACGGGGCAACCUGGUGGCGAGUGGCGAACGGGUGAGUAAUAUAUCGGAACGUGCCCAAUCGUGGGGGAUAACGUAGCGAAAGUUACGCUAAUACCGCAUACGAUCUACGGAUGAAAGCGGGGAUCGCAAGACCUCGCGCGAAUGGAGCGGCCGAUAUCAGAUUAGGUAGUUGGUGGGGUAAAGGCUCACCAAGCCAACGAUCUGUAGCUGGUCUGAGAGGACGACCAGCCACACUGGAACUGAGACACGGUCCAGACUCCUACGGGAGGCAGCAGUGGGGAAUUUUGGACAAUGGGCGCAAGCCUGAUCCAGCCAUUCCGCGUGCAGGAUGAAGGCCUUCGGGUUGUAAACUGCUUUUGUACGGAACGAAACGGUCUGCCCUAAUACGGCAGGCUAAUGACGGUACCGUAAGAAUAAGCACCGGCUAACUACGUG